UUGAAGGAAUUGAAUUCACCCUCUUACGAUGAAGAAUUAUAUAACUUGGCGAGAGGACCACUUCACGUUGAAUUGUUCUCGGGUUGUCAUGUCAACGGGAUCAAGUUCUUGGGGGCAACACGUGAUGACAAGUUGUCUACUCAAAAUAGUGGUGUCCAUGUCCCGAGUGCGGGCGACAGUGAAGACAUUGAUUUUUAUGGAAAACUAACUAGUGUAGUACAAUUGCUUUACAAAAAUAGGUGUCAAGUGAUACUGUUUAAGUGUCUUUGGUUUGAUACAAACCCACAUAACCGAACAAGUGUUAAGCGAGAUCAUGGUUUACUAUCAGUAAACACUACGAGACAUUGGUACGAUGAAGACCCUUACAUUUUGGCAACUAUGGCGAAACAAAUAUUCUAUCUAGACGACCCUAAAGCCGGCAAUGGUUGGAAAGUUAUUCAGAAGAUUGAUCGAAGAAGGCUAUAUGAUAUUCCGGAACUAGAUCAUGAUGACAACGACGACAACGUCACUGACCAACAGUUAUCAUCUUCGAUAGAAAUUGGUGAAGAAACACUCCGGGAUACUAAUAUUGUCCAAGAACCGUUUGACGUACAUGGAGUUCCCGAAUUCGAAAUAUCAAUUGACCUUGGUGAUCUGCCUCAAUACAAUGCACCGGAAGAGGCAAACGAAGAUGAGGAUGAAUGGGAAUCCGGAAAUGAUAGUAGUGAGGAUAGCGAGAGUUAUUAUUGUAGUUCGGAUGAGGAUUAAUUUAAACUUGUAAAGGAAAAAGCAGGAGGCUAAAGGUUUAACAUCGCUUCUCAUCUACCACACUAUUAUUCCCAACAAAUCAUCUGAUCGUCUCCGUUCUAUAAAGAUAAAGAUAUCAUGUUGUCAUUGUUGCAUUUUUGACAUGGCUUGGAUGGUUCAACCCUGGAGAAUUUGGUCUUUUUCUGGAAAACUUGAUACGAAAAGGUAUGGAUAAAUUUCAGCUGGCAUUACAAUUCAGUAUCGCAGUAUUAGUGGUUGCUUGCCUUUUUGCCAUGGGACUAGCAACCCCUACGCUACGGUAGCAAUGGUUGCAACAGGGAAGGGUGCUUGGCAAGGUGUUCUUAUCAUGGAUGGAAAUGCACUCAAAAAGGCUCAUAAGGUAAAGGGACAGCCAUCAACAAUGCCAACAGUGGGACCUUGGCGGAAGAUGGUAACAUCAAAAGAUACCAAUUUCAUUGGAUACACUUUUAAGAAAUCCGAUGUCCUUAAAUCGCUUAAAAGUUCAGGUCUGCUUCUGGCAUGAGAAAAUGGAUCAUUUUUAAUAUGGAUUUCAUUAUACUUGUUCCUACUUACUUUUCCUUCCGAGGACGUCGAAAACCUGUUUUGUUUUGGUAUUAGGAAAAGACAAUUACUGAUUAGAUACUAUCCAUAUGUCUGAGGGUGCAAGUGUAGUCCGUUUUCUCGUCUUUCCUUUGUUAUGAAGUUGCUCUCCUCGUAUUGGUCUGGUCAUUUUGUAUUAUGACCUAUGCUACCAACAUAGUUUAUGUUGAUGUUCCGUAAUAUAACAAGUUAUGCACUUCAUUUCUGACCAG